rnacentral:rRNA from 1 species
GACGAACGCUGGCGGCGUGCUUAACACAUGCAAGUCGAACGGAAAGGCCCUGCUUUUGUGGGGUGCUCGAGUGGCGAACGGGUGCGUAACACGUGAGUAACCUGCCCUUGACUUUGGGAUAACUUCAGGAAACUGGGGCUAAUACCGGAUAGGAGCUCCUGCUGCAUGGUGGGGGUUGGAAAGUUUCGGCGGUUGGGGAUGGACUCGCGGCUUAUCAGCUUGUUGGUGGGGUAGUGGCUUACCAAGGCUUUGACGGGUAGCCGGCCUGAGAGGGUGACCGGCCACAUGGGGACUGAGAGACGGCCCAGACUCCUACGGGAGGCAGCAGUGGGGAAUAUUGCACAAUGGGCGGAAGCCUGAUGCAGCAACGCCGCGUGCGGGAUGACGGCCUGCGGGUUGUAAACCGCUUUCGCCUGUGACGAAGCGUGAGUGACGGUAAUGGGUAAAGAAGCACCGGCUAACUACGUG